UUGCCUGGGUCUCUGAGAACUUAUUCAGU
rnacentral:piRNA from 1 species